rnacentral:rRNA from 1 species
CCUACGGGAGGCAGCAGUGGGGAAUAUUGGGCAAUGGAGGAAACUCUGACCCAGCAACGCCGCGUGAAUGAUGAAGGUCUUCGGAUUGUAAAGUUCUUUUCUAAGGGAAGAAGAAAGUGACGGUACCUUAGGAAUAAGCCUCUGCUAACUACGUGCCAGCAGCCGCGGUAAUACGUAGGAGGCGAGCGUUAUCCGGAAUGACUGGGCGUAAAGGGUGCGUAGGUGGUUUGGCAAGUUAGUAGCGAAACUCCAAGGCUCAACCUUGGAACUACUACUAAAACUGUUGGACUUGAGUGCAGGAGGGGCAACCGGAAUUCCUAGUGUAGCGGUGGAAUGCGUAGAUAUUAGGAGGAACACCAGUGGCGAAGGCGGGUUGCUGGACUGUAACUGACACUGAGGCACGAAAGCGUGGGGAGCAAACAGGAUUAGAUACCCGAGUAGUC